rnacentral:rRNA from 1 species
UUACUGAGUGCGGGCUGCCUCCGGGCGCCCAACCUCCCACCCGUGACUACCUAACACUGUUGCUUCGGCGGGGAGCCCUCUCGGGGGCGAGCCGCCGGGGACUACUGAACUUCAUGCCUGAGAGUGAUGCAGUCUGAGUCUGAAUAUAAAAUCAGUCAAAACUUUCAACAAUGGAUCUCUUGGUUCCGGCAUCGAUGAAGAACGCAGCGAACUGCGAUAAGUAAUGUGAAUUGCAGAAUUCAGUGAAUCAUCGAGUCUUUGAACGCACAUUGCGCCCCCUGGCAUUCCGGGGGGCAUGCCUGUCCGAGCGUCAUUGCUGCCCAUCAAGCCCGGCUUGUGUGUUGGGUCGUCGUCCCCCCCGGGGGACGGGCCCGAAAGGCAGCGGCGGCACCGUGUCCGGUCCUCGAGCGUAUGGGGCUUUGUCACCCGCUCGAUUUAGGGCCGGCCGGGCGCCAGCCGACGUCCAACCAUUUUUCUUCAGGUUGACCUCGGAUCAGGUAGGGAUACCCGCUGAACUUAAGCAUAUCAAUAAGCGGAGGAAAAGAAACCAACCGGGAUUGCCCCAGUAACGGCGAGUGAAGCGGCAAGAGCUCAAAUUUGAAAUCUG